UGGGGAAUAUUGCACAAUGGGGGAAACCCUGAUGCAGCGACGCCGCGUGAGCGAUGAAGGCUUUCGAGUCGUAAAGCUCUGUCCUAUGGGAAGAUAAUGACGGUACCAUAGAAGAAAGCACCGGCUAAUUACGUGCCAGCAGCCGCGGUAAUACGUAAGGGGCGAGCGUUGUCCGGAAUUAUUGGGCGUAAAGAGUGCGUAGGCGGCAAAUUAAGUCAGAUGUGAAAACUAAGGGCUCAACCCAUAGAUUGCAUCUGAAACUGAUAUGCUUGAGUCAAGGAGAGGAAAGUGGAAUUCCUAGUGUAGCGGUGGAAUGCGUAGAUAUUAGGAGGAAUACCGGUGGCGAAGGCGACUUUCUGGACUUGAACUGACGCUGAGGCACGAAAGCGUGGGGAGCAAACAGG
rnacentral:rRNA from 1 species